UGAGCAGUGAAAACGAGAGCAAAGCAAGCUGGGGAGAACAGAGUCAUUUGUAGAGUCCUGAAACAGCCAUUGCACUAAUUUUCUGGCUUGACAAAAAAAUGGAACUUACAGUCAUGUAGCCUUUCUCCUGUUUAUUGACAGUAAAUAACCCCUCUAAAAAUCGACAUGUUCAGACAGAGUUGGAAGAAGAUCCUGACCAACAGAUAAAAUACUGGCUCCAUUACACCUGCAAGGGCAGUAACAGGCAUCCUAUUUCUCGAAGACAGCAGAACAAAUGAGUAUUUUGGAAAAGAGACUCCUUUAGCAACCAUCUGGUCCUUGCUGCAGAUGCAACUGGAUGAGCAGAGUGCAUCAAUACCUGUGGGUACAGAGAAGUCUCUGGAGGCUUGGGCUGCGAUGAAGACCAAGAAGCCACCGACGUUUGUCACAGAACAGUGUCACUGCACUCCUGGUUCCCUGUGAGCAGUGUUUAGUGGGGUGUUAAGCAAGACUGGUGCUGAAGGAACAAUAUUGGACUUAUACAGUUGACCUGGACAAUAUUUAGUAUUGAGCUUAAGUCUUCUAUGUGUAUCCCCAAAGAUCAGAUGGCUUGAAGGACACAAACAAAUGUCUCUGGACCAUGAGAGCUCCUCAGUUUUCCCAGCAUGGACAAGAAUGAAGUUUUUAGGUCACCCAACUGAAUCUCUGCAGUUCUAAUGAAAGAGGAAAAACAGUGUCUGAGCUCUGUGGGUGAAGGAAGAAAGAAAAUGGCAUAACUCUGCCUAGUGACACACUGACUUUGAGAGUGAAUGACUGGUAUGGAAUAUUGUGGAGCCUAGACUGAAGGAAGAAUAAAGGAUUGAAACCCACAACUGGAAAAUUUUCUGGUAUCCUACCUUCAUAAAUAGGAAGCUCAGCUACAUAUUCUUCUUUUGGUUCCCAUGGUGAGCACAUCAAAGAUUGUAUCAAGAAGAUCAUCAAAUGUUUUGAGCUGAUGGAUGUUCAAAACUUCAACUUUCAAAGCCUACCCAAACUUGCUAGAUAUAUUAGAGCAGAAAACCUGCACACAAAUUAACAGGCAUUGAAGAGAUUUUUCAAGCCAAUUUUUAUUGGCUUGCAGCAAGAAGACUUUUGGAAAUACACUAGAAUGUGCCAGGUGGCAGCAGCUCCAACUCUUUAUAGGCUGCAAUUAAGGCCAGAAAGUUGUGCAGGGGAAGUUUAGCAGUUUCUGCAGGCUCUCAUGUCACUGCACACCCCGUGGAGAGGCAUACAGCAAAGAGGUGGGGAAGAUACGUGGCAACGGCAUAUCUUUCAAAUAACUGGAAGGCUUUUCCAUCCUGAACCCAGAGGACAGUCUAGUGAAAACUGGCUUUUUGAUAAUAUUGAGUUACAAGAUGACAGCACCUAGUGUUGAGCAGCAGCCAGGGGCCUAGGACAGCUCCUCUCCAGUGUGAGUGAUUUGCCUGAAGUAUCACUUUAGUCUGAGAUAAAGAGGCUGAUUUCCCUAGGAUAAAGUAUGAAAGAAUGGAAUAGAAUAUUUUUCUUAAAAAAAAAGAAGAGGUGAUAUUGGGGGGGGGGCCUGAAAUAAAGAAUAUGCUGUAGAAAAGAAGACCAAAAAUCAAGGUUUUUCUUCUCCUUAAGGUCAGGUAAUCUUGAUUUGAAGUGUUGUGAGGCAAGGAGCUGUCAUCUACAAGGCAAAGGUUUAUGAUGAUAUGACUGAAGGGAAACCUAUCUGGGGACAAAGAGAGAUGCACAAGAAAAUAAACAUUUCCAGGCUUUCUUAUUAAGAAAAACUUCAAUUUUAAUAUACAGAGAAUGAUGUAAAGACUUACAGAAUCUUAUACUACUCAUAAUCUCACCUUUAAAUUGCCCACUGGAAGUUUUUUAGUAAAUUUAUAAAACUGUUUCUCUUGCUUGUACACCCCCAACCCCCAAGGUGCACAACACACUCUUUCCUAUUCAUGUAAGUACCCCAGACCCAUUUCCCAGCUACUUUUCCAGAGAAUUAAAUGUACCAGCAAUGGAAGGUUAUUUGUCAUCACUGUUGUAAUUGGACCCAAUUGGGAAAAUGAGAUAAGUUCAGUGAGUAACAGACCUGCAAAUGGAAGCUGCAGCCACUGUUUUGCUGGGCUUGUCUAAUAACCUGCAGCCAUUCACCAUGAGUUCCAAAGGCCAAGCUCAUUAGCACAAAGGCAGGUGUUUGUGCAUUUCCAUUUGUUAAAUUAAAAUGAUCACAGUCAUUUUGCUAAUAAUGCAAUGUGCAAAUGUAGGCCAUCUCAGACGAGCAGUUUGAAGAGAGAACAUUUUUUAAAAGUGAGAAAUGAACUUCACCAAUCUAAUUGUUCGUUAGUAAGAUAAAGAUAUUUCUAUAGUAAAUUAUCUGCAUAGUUAUCAGCUCAGUAAGGUGUGAAAUACUAGUCUACUUUAACAUCUCUUAUUCCCAUUACAGGACUUCAGUGGAAAUGUUCUUGUGGGUUCUGGUUUGCACUUUCAAGCCAUGGGUGAGGGAAUGCUGAAGUGUGCAGUGAGCAGGAGGUCCAAUCCAGUGUUGAAGGGAUGGCUGGAACCUGGUUUGGAUGUCAGUGCAAGCAGUGUCAUCCUGAUAAGUCCAAUAGGGCAGCUGGCCACAACACUUCUUGAAAGGGGUCUCAUCUUGCAUCUUUUCUGCACUGAACACUUUCAUUGAGGACCGUGUCACAAGGGAGGCAUAAAACACAGCUUAGCAGUUAAACUGGAUGAACAUGGAAUAUAGUACAUGAAAAUGGAUGAGAAAGAAACUGAUAAUGUAGCAUAUUUUCUCCACUUCCUUCUGAAACAGUGUGAAGCAAUCAGUUCUAAAAACCUCUGUCCAUGUAUUAGUUAAUCAAUACGAAUGUUCAGCCGGCUCCAAGAUAUUUUAACACCUGUCAAAGCUAGCUCAGCAGUCAUUGUUCAAAGCUUACAUGGACGUGGAAACCACAACAGAAAACCUUUCCCAUCUCCAGGGGAUUAUCUCUGGGGAGGAAAAAAGAAGAAAAGAGAGAAUGAUUCUGGUUAGUAGAAAUGAGAGGGGGAAAAGAGCUCCAAUUCUCAGAUGAUCCAAUUAUGAUUAGAAAAACUAUGUAAAAAAGAAGUAGAGCUGGGAGAGUGAGGAAUUUAAUCAUGAUUAUCUGCCUCUUGUGAGGCAGUGUGAAAAUCUGCCAAACCCACCUUUGCUUGGUUACCCUGAAGUGUGAGAGGGAAGGAGAAGUAAAUGCAAAAUGAUGCAUCAGGGAGGCACCGUGAUAGAGCACAGCAAGGGAACUAAUUUCCUCUCAAACUGGGAAAAAGAUUCCUUUUCAAGACCUGGAUAUUAUUAAUGAAAUAUGAAACUCUAGUGAAGAACUUUGGCUUGUGUGCUGCAAUUACGGCUCCUUGGAACAGCAGAAUACAGCUACAUUUGCCAUGGGGUUACCAACAGAUCCCUGACUCAUCUAUACCAUUCCCUCCUCCUGUUAUGCAUACAACAGGUUUUAUAUCUCAUAUAAAUACUUGUAUUUAAUAUUUCCUGUCUAUUACAAUAAAUAUAUUAGUUGUCAGGCUUAAUUUCUCCUCUCAUUCAAACCACAUUAGGCUCAAGCAUGACAAACAAGCGUGAUGCAUAUUUUCUGGAGGUUUUAAAACAUGUCUGAAAUCUGUACAGCUCUGUCAUUAAAAGUGCAAGUUAAAUGUACCAUGUGAUAUUUUUGCUUCAGAAGGGGAAGGGGGGAGUGUUGUCUUGGCACUGUGGACCUGA